rnacentral:lncRNA from 1 species
UCUAGUCAAUGCUAUCAAAUUCCUCUUCGAUAAUUGAGGAACCCUUCAUCCAUCGGAAAUAAUGUAACUUUUGGUAACUCUCAUUCAUGAUAGCUAUCGAAUUAAAGUAACCUAGCAUGCUUUGUUUAAAUAAGUGCCCAAUUGAGAAUGUUAAAUAACUAGGUGCUUUUUCGUCCGUUGAGUCUAUGAGUAGAUUAGGGCUUUGAGGCUUGGCAAGCACAAUGGGCUCUUCUUCUAUCUUCUCCUCCUCAUCCCACUAUGGCUUCACAUUUGUACUAGAUCUCAUGUCAUAAAGAGCCUUGAUGACAACAUAACUACCAAGCAGGCACGGUUUUGCAAAUCUAACUGGAUCCUUG